rnacentral:rRNA from 1 species
UANAAUGCAGUCGAGCGGAAGAUGGGAGCUUGCUCCCUGAUGUUAGCGGCGGACGGGUGAGUAACACGUGGGUAACCUGCCUGUAAGACUGGGAUAACUCCGGGAAACCGGGGCUAAUACCGGAUGGUUGUUUGAACCGCAUGGUUCAGACAUAAAAGGUGGCUUCGGCUACCACUUACAGAUGGACCCGCGGCGCAUUAGCUAGUUGGUGAGGUAACGGCUCACCAAGGCGACGAUGCGUAGCCGACCUGAGAGGGUGAUCGGCCACACUGGGACUGAGACACGGCCCAGACUCCUACGGGAGGCAGCAGUAGGGAAUCUUCCGCAAUGGACGAAAGUCUGACGGAGCAACGCCGCGUGAGUGAUGAAGGUUUUCGGAUCGUAAAGCUCUGUUGUUAGGGAAGAACAAGUGCCGUUCAAAUAGGGCGGCACCUUGACGGUACCUAACCAGAAAGCCACGGCUAACUACGUGCCAGCAGCCGCGGUAAUACGUAGGUGGCAAGCGUUGUCCGGAAUUAUUGGGCGUAAAGGGCUCGCAGGCGGUUUCUUAAGUCUGAUGUGAAAGCCCCCGGCUCAACCGGGGAGGGUCAUUGGAAACUGGGGAACUUGAGUGCAGAAGAGGAGAGUGGAAUUCCACGUGUAGCGGUGAAAUGCGUAGAGAUGUGGAGGAACACCAGUGGCGAAGGCGACUCUCUGGUCUGUAACUGACGCUGAGGAGCGAAAGCGUGGGGAGCGAACAGGAUUAGAUACCCUGGUAGUCCACGCCGUAAACGAUGAGUGCUAAGUGUUAGGGGGUUUCCGCCCCUUAGUGCUGCAGCUAACGCAUUAAGCACUCCGCCUGGGGAGUACGGUCGCAAGACUGAAACUCAAAGGAAUUGACGGGGGCCCGCACAAGCGGUGGAGCAUGUGGUUUAAUUCGAAGCAACGCGAAGAACCUUACCAGGUCUUGACAUCCUCUGACAAUCCUAGAGAUAGGACGUCCCCUUCGGGGGCAGAGUGACAGGUGGUGCAUGGUUGUCUCAGCUCGUGUCGUGAGAUGUUGGGUUAAGUCCGCACCGAGCGCAACCCUUGAUCUUAGUUGCCAGCAUUCAGUUGGGCACUCUUAAGGUGACUGCGGUGACAACCGAAGAAAGUGGGGAUGACGUAAAU